GUGCUGUCUUCGGCAGCACAUAUACUAAAAUUGGAAGGAUACAGAGAAUAUUAACAAGGCCCCUGCACAAGGAUGACAUGCAAAUUCAUGAAGGGAUUCAUAUAUUU
ensembl:snRNA U6 U6 spliceosomal RNA